AGCAGCCGCGGUAAUUCCAGCUCCAAUAGCGUAUAUUAAAGUUGUUGCAGUUAAAAGCUCGUAGUUGAAUUUCGGGAUCAGUUGAUCGGUCGUGCCUCGGUACGUACUGGUCAAAUUGAUUCCUACCUUCUGACGAACCACGAUGUCAUUAAUUUGGUGUCGUGGGAAAUCAGGACUGUUACUUUGAAAAAAUUAGAGUGUUUAAAGCAGGCUCGCGCUUGAAUACAUUAGCAUGGAAUAAUGAAAUAGGACGUUUGAUUCUAUUUUGUUGGUUUCUAGGAUCGACGUAAUGAUUAAUAGGGAUAGUUGGGGGCAUUAGUAUUCAAUUGUCAGAGGUGAAAUUCUUGGAUUUAUUGAAGACUAACUACUGCGAAAGCAUUUGCCAAGGAUGUUUUCAUUAAUCAAGAACGAAAGUUAGGGGAUCGAAGACGAUCAGAUACCGUCGUAGUCUUAACCAUAAACUAUGCCGACUAGGGAUCGGAUGAUGUUAAUUUUUUAAUGAUUCGUUUGGCACCUUACG
rnacentral:rRNA from 1 species